CCUANGGGAGGCUGCAGUCGGGAAUUUUGGGCAAUGGGCGAAAGCCUGACCCAGCAACGCCGCGUGAGGGAUGAAGGCCUUCGGGUCGUAAACCUCUGUCGGAAGGGAAGAACGACCGCAAGGUGAAUAAUCUUGGGGUCUGACGGUACCUUCAAAGGAAGCGCCGGCUAACUCCGUGCCAGCAGCCGCGGUAAUACGGAGGGCGCAAGCGUUGUUCGGAAUCAUUGGGCGUAAAGCGCGUGUAGGCGGCUUGGCAAGUCGGGUGUGAAAUCCCGGGGCUCAACCCCGGAACUGCAUUCGAAACUGCCUCGCUAGAGUCCCGGAGAGGAGGGCGGAAUUCCCGGUGUAGAGGUGAAAUUCGUAGAUAUCGGGAGGAACACCAGUGGCGAAGGCGGCCCUCUGGACGGUGACUGACGCUGAGAUGCGAAAGCGUGGGGAGCAAACAGGAUUAGAUACCCCGNUANUC
rnacentral:rRNA from 1 species